AACGAACGCUGGCGGCGUGCUUAACACAUGCAAGUGGAGCGACGAACCAGGGCUUGCCCUGGGGCAGAGCCGCGAACGGGUGAGUAACACGUGGGUUACCUGCCCCGAUGACCGGGACAACCCGUCGAAAGACGGGCUAAUACCGGAUGUGCCCUUAGGGGUAAAGGAAGCUUCGGCCUCCGCAUCGGGAUGGGCCCGCGGCCCAUUAGCUUGUUGGUGGGGUAACGGCCUACCAAGGCGACGAUGGGUAGCUGGUCUGAGAGGACGAUCAGCCACACUGGGACUGAGACACGGCCCAGACUCCUACGGGAGGCAGCAGUGGGGAAUCUUGCACAAUGCGCGAAAGCGUGAUGCAGCAACGCCGCGUGGGGGAAGAAGGCCUUCGGGUUGUAAACCUCUUUCAGUUGGGACGAAGGUUUUGCGGUUAAUAGCCGUGGAAACUGACGGUACCUUCAGAAGAAGCCCCGGCUAACUACGUGCCAGCCGCCGCAGUAACAC
rnacentral:rRNA from 1 species